CCGUUUGAGUGUCGUGAAAUCUCAACCUUCUCGGUUUCUUCUGGACACCGAAGGAGGCUUGGACCUUGGAGGCCCUUGCUGGCGUCUCUCUCUUUUGAGAGCCAGCUCCUCUCAAAUGAAUUAGCGGGGUCCUCUUCGCCGAUCCUCGACAUGUGAUAAGAUGUUUCCGUGUCUUGGUUUAUGGCUCUGUCGCUUUUGGGACCCGCUUCUAACCGUCUCGACGAGACAAUGUUUGAGCGUGUCUCCCUACUCGGGAAACACUCUCGAACCCACGAUCCCUUGACCUCAAAUCGGGUGUGACUACCCGCUGAACUUAAGCAUAUCAAUAAGCGGAGG
rnacentral:rRNA from 1 species